CAUUGAACUAAAAAUAACUGGAACGCUACGUUCAGUAAACUGCGCAUGCAAAUUUUGAAGCCAAAAUUUGACUCCCAUGAAGCCAGUUUUGACUCCCAGACACGCACUUCCACGCGUGUUUCUACUGCGCGAUUUACUCGCGAGACAAUGCAGGGGGCGCUCGAAGCAUGCCAUUUUGAAUGUUUUCAUGGCAGGAUGCAAAUCGAAAGGGAAACGGGCCUUUUCAGUUUAAAACGGGCCUUUUAAAGCCUGUGUACGACCUUGUAGAAUUUAGCUUCAAAUUUCCGCUUGAACGUAGCGUUCCAGUUAUUUUUAGUUCAAUGCUUUUUAC